rnacentral:lncRNA from 1 species
UUGUCUUCUUUUCUUCAAAAAUCUUUUAAACUUUCUAGUGAUGAGAGCCAUUUCUUCAUCUUGUUCUUCAUUUUCAGUUUCUUCGGAUUCCUCAUCGAGUUGAGUAGUGGACUUGAGGGCGAUUGUCCUCUUCUUCUUGACAUCUUCUUCUUGAUGUUGUUUCAUGCUUAGCUCGUAUGUCAUUAGCGAUCCUAGAAGCUCCUCCAAAGAUAAAAUAUUCAGAUCUUUGGCUUCUUGGAUUGUGGUCACUUUGGCCUCCCACGUCCUUAAUAAAG